ACUUCAACUGCUGGACUCGGACGAUGAAUAAUGGCCGACUACACGCCGCCAGGCAGUUGGGAAACGAAGGAGGAGAAGCAAAACGGAAGCGACGCAGAAAAUAUGCGAAGCGGAACAAAACAAUGAUUCUCCGGGAUCUCAGGUCAAUUCUCCAGGCAAUGUGUUUACAUUCGGUUUGCAAACAAAGGAGUCGAUUAACAGGUCAUAACUCGUGAAAAUUGAAAUUCAGAAUACAAUAGAAAAUACAUUUUGUGCACAGUUUCAAUCUGCGAAUCCUUCUAUUAACACUAAACAUUACAUCAUUGUGAAUACCUAAUUUCGGAAAAGCAACAUGUUCAAAAAAUUUGCAACUGUUGCAAUUUUCACAAAAAAAAAACUGUUAAAAUAAUUCUAAAAAUUAUUAGCUUCGGGAGUUUUCGCAAAUUUUCUAAAACCGCGAUCGUUUAUAGGGUGUUUAUUAAUAUUUUUCUUUUGUUAAAUUCCAGUUUUAAGUGUACGCAUAAAUUAUAAUAUUCAUGAAAAGUUUCGGGUGCGUUCGAAUUUUCUUAUAAUCGCGUUCGUUUGAUAAUUGGUAUUUAAUUGUGAUUUCGGGAGUGUUCGCGAAUUUUUUUUCAAAUUGUGUGUUUUGAAAUGGAUAUUCGAGGGAUUCUCUAGGAUGGAGGUCGGGCAUGGAAGAAUGAAGUCAAAGACUGAUAGACAGGAAGGAGGAACGUGGAAAAAGUGACCCCCUGCAGAGACUACGGAUUGGCCGUGAAAAAGUGGUGAUGCUGCCAGAGCUCUUCAUCGAGGGAGUCAACGAACUGCAAGUCGAUUUUUUUUACAUUUACAUAGCGACACUAAUUUACUCAUUUUUCAACAAUUCACAAAUUCAAAAAGUGUUUGGAUUUUUUCAUUUUGAGUUUCGAAGGUUUGGAACUCAGGUGUUCGGAUGCGUCCGGAAACUUAUGAAGUCUAAAGAUUUUUAAAAACCCUUUUUAUAUGCUUUAGGUUCGCAUAUGAUUUUGCUAUGACCCUUAAGAAUUUGUAUCUGGACGGUAUGUGAGAGAAUCUUGAAAAACGUUAUAAUUUAGAAGAAUCUGGUUAUUAGGAGUGUUUUCAGAAUAGUUGUAGGUAUUUCUUUUUUUGCUGCGUAUGAGAAUAAAAGGCGAACUUUUAUAAUCAAAUUAAGUUAAUUACAAAUUAAGUAAUUAAGAAGUUAUUAUUAAAUAGUGCAGUAGGUAGAGCGACAAAACAAUGUUAAAUUAUUUUAUUCCAUGCCUUAGUGUCGCUAUGUUUUUUCCUAUUAUUUUUAUUUCACCUUUGCAGUUUUUGGCAAAAAAUAUCUUAUUCUACAAACGGUAGCAUAGAAUAUUUUUUUGCAAACUUGUCAAAGAAGUGAAAAAUACACAAUACAAAAAAAAAUGUUUUUGUAUUGUGUUUUCGUUUGCUUUCUUAUUUUCCAG